rnacentral:rRNA from 1 species
GCAUAUCAAUAAGCGGAGGAAAAGAAACUAACAAGGAUUCCCCUAGUAACUGCGAGUGAAGCGGGAAAAGCUCAAAUUUAAAAUCUGGCGGUCUUUGGCCGUCCGAGUUGUAGUCUGGAGAAGCGUCUUCCGCGUUGGACCGUGUACAAGUCUCUUGGAACAGAGCGUCAUAGAGGGUGAGAAUCCCGUCUUUGACACGGACUACCAAUGCUUUGUGAUGCGCUCUCAAAGAGUCGCGUUGUUUGGGAAUGCAGCGCAAAAUGGGAGGUGAAUUCCUUCUAAAGCUAAAUAUUGGCGAGAGACCGAUAGCGAACAAGUACCGUGAGGGAAAGAUGAAAAGCACUUUGGAAAGAGAGUUAAACAGUACGUGAAAUUGCUAAAAGGGAAACGCUUGAAGUCAGUCGCGUCGUCCGGAACUCAGCUUUGCUUCGGCUUAGUGCACUUUCCGGUUGACGGGCCAGCAUCGAUUUUGACCGCUGGAAAAGGGCUGGAGGAAUGUGGCACCUUCGGGUGUGUUAUAGCCUUCAGUCGCAUACAGCGGUUGGGAUCGAGGAACGCAGCGCGCCUUAUGGCUGGGGUUCGCCCACAUUCGCGCUUAGGAUGCUGGCAUAAUGGCUUUAAACGACCCGUCUUGAAACACGGACCAAGGAGUCUAACAUGCCUGCGAGUGUUUGGGUGGAAAACCCGAGCGCGUAAUGAAAGUGAAAGUUGAGACCUCUGUCGUGGAGGGCAUCGACGCCCGGACCUGACGUUUUCUGAAGGAUCCGCGGUAGAGCAUGUAUGUUGGGACCCGAAAGAUGGUGAACUAUGCCUGAAUAGGGUGAAGCCAGAGGAAACUCUGGUGGAGGCUCGUAGCGAUUCUGACGUGCAAAUCGAUCGUCAAAUUUGGGUAUAGGGGCGAAAGACUAAUCGAACCAUCUAGUAGCUGGUUCCUGCG